rnacentral:rRNA from 1 species
AUGAACGCUGGCGGCGUGCUUAACACAUGCAAGUCGAACGAUGAAGCCCAGCUUGCUGGGUGGAUUAGUGGCGAACGGGUGAGUAACACGUGAGUAACCUGCCCUUGACUCUGGGAUAAGCCUGGGAAACUGGGUCUAAUACUGGAUAUGACUUCUCAUCGCAUGGUGGGGGGUGGAAAGAUUUAUUGGUCUUGGAUGGACUCGCGGCCUAUCAGCUUGUUGGUGAGGUAAUGGCUCACCAAGGCGACGACGGGUAGCCGGCCUGAGAGGGUGACCGGCCACACUGGGACUGAGGCACGGCCCAGACUCCUACGGGAGGCAGCAGUGGGGAAUAUUGCACAAUGGGCGCAAGCCUGAUGCAGCGACGCCGCGUGAGGGAUGACGGCCUUCGGGUUGUAAACCUCUUUCAGUAGGGAAGAAGCGAGAGUGACGGUACCUGCAGAAGAAGCGCCGGCUAACUACGUG